rnacentral:rRNA from 1 species
GAUGAACGCUGGCGGCGUGCUUAACACGUGCAAGUCGAACGGAAAGGCUCCUGCUUGCAGGGGUACUCGAGUGGCGAACGGGUGAGUAACACGUGGGUGAUCUGCCCUGCACUUCGGGAUAAGCCUGGGAAACUGGGUCUAAUACCGGAUAGGACGAUGGUUUGGAUGCCAUUGUGGAAAGUUUUUCGGUGUGGGAUGAGCUCGCGGCCUAUCAGCUUGUUGGUGGGGUAAUGGCCUACCAAGGCGUCGACGGGUAGCCGGCCUGAGAGGGUGUACGGCCACAUUGGGACUGAGAUACGGCCCAGACUCCUACGGGAGGCAGCAGUGGGGAAUAUUGCACAAUGGGCGCAAGCCUGAUGCAGCGACGCCGCGUGGGGGAUGACGGCCUUCGGGUUGUAAACUCCUUUCGCUAGGGACGAAGCGCAAGUGACGGUACCUGGAGAAGAAGCACCGGCUAACUACGUG